AGAAAAAGGCCUACGGGAGCAGAAGUCUGCUGGGGGAAGCUGUCAGUGAGAGUCCUAGCUGCAAGGGAUACAAUGGAUGGUUAAGUGUAACCUUGAAGGAAGGCUGUGGGAAAAUCUGCACCAGGUGUGGAAGGAUUACUUGAGCUGUGGGACAAGAACCAUGGGACUCUGAGGUGCAAACGCUGAAGGAGGGUGGCAUGGAAGCUGCGCCAGAUGCUACGUCACUGACAGCUGCUGGCAGAGCUCCUUCCCCUGACAGCACUGGACCUGACAGGCUUUCACUGCCAAAGAGCGGAGCCAGCUGUGCUGAAGGCAAAGUGCUGGUGAAAGAUGGCAGGCUGGAGACCAAAAUCCUCAAAUCGCUUCUGGAAUAGAUAAAGCGCUGGACCUCAUGGUGCUCCACAAAAGUGCCUCCACUGUGAGCUAGAGGGGCCCAGUGGAAUUCAGCCUUCAUGACCAACUUUCGGCUUUGGCCUCCCUACUGAGACCUCCAAAAGGGGCUCCAACGAGUGGCAGUUAUGGGAGUGGUUUGUGUGAUGUGCACACGUCCAUACGAAUGGCACUGAGAUCCCCAGCUCCUGUUACAUGGGGAUACCAAACUGCCAUCAGGUGAGAAGAACUUCUAGCUUUCACUGACCUGGACUGGAUUUAAACUGGUGACCAUAGAGAUAAGACUGUAUUACAGGACCAGCAACUUAGGGCCUGAUCUGAAUCCCAUUGAAAUUAAUGGAAAGCUGACUUCAGUGGGUGUGGGACCUGGCCUCUAUAGCACAGCACCAAAGAUAACCCUCUCACCUCCUUCCUGGCCAGGCCUGAUGGUGAGUCUGUCAUCAAGCUAAAACUACAUUUCCCUCAUUUUUCUGUCCAUCUUACUUAUGCCCCUGGCUUGUGGGUAAUGACUUGUGUUGUCCCCAUGCUGUGUGCCAUGGUGGAGGAGGAAUUUACUGUGGUGGGGAGAAGGGGUGUUGUUUUCUAUUGUCUAUGCUGGUUUAUUUCAAGGAAGAUUUUUCUCAUCUUGUGUUUGGAGCAGAUUUAAACCCUCUGAUGUUCAAUUCAUACCUCUAACAUGCCUUACAGCCCACACAGUUAGUCUUUUGUUAUAAUCCAAUCUGCAUUCCUGUAGUAAUAACUCUUAGCUCUGCUUCAGCUCCUUCCACAGGAGGAGCUCAGAACCCCACAAAAUUACUUGAUGGAAAUAGGAGAACUAUCAAUAAUACAGAAAAGGCAGAAGAGUUCAAUAAAUAUUUCUGUUCUGUGUUUGGGGAAAAAAGACAUUACUUCAGAACUCUUUCCAUUCCACUAGUAUCUUGGAAGGAUGUUAAAAAGCAGUUACUAAAGUAUGCACUUUUAAAUCAGCUGAUCUGGAUAACUUGUACCCAAGAGUUUCAAAAGAACUGGCUGAGGAGUUCGCUGGACCAUUAAUAUUGAUUUUCAAUAAGUCUUGGAACACCAGGAAAGUUCUAGAAGAAAGCUAAUGUUAUGCCAAUAUUUAAAAGGGGUAAAUGGGAUGACGCAGAUAAUUAUAGGUCUACUGGUCUGACAUCAGUCCUGUACAAGAUAAUCGAGUGGUUGAUAUGGAACUCAAUUAAUAAAGAAUUAAAUGAGAAUAAUGUAAUUUAUGCCAUUC